rnacentral:lncRNA from 1 species
GCAUGUUUGCCAUCGAAGAUUCAAAAAUAGGGGACAAAUUGUUAAAGCAUAAGUUUGGACUCUUGAAAAACUUUGUCUCUUCUUUUAUCCACAGUAACGGCUUGAGAAUAAACUAACUUUUGAAGAUGCAUCUCUAAAGAUCAAUUCCCACCAAUUUUGAUCUUUGGUAGUCUAACCGAGGCCAUUAACAUAUUAAAUAGAGAGAAAAAACCUGUCACCGAAAUGUCAUACGUAAAUCGACAAAAACCACCGUUGCUCCACAAGGUUCUAGAAAUUAAACGGAGAGGCCGUCGC